UGGGGAAUAUUGGACAAUGGGCGAAAGCCUGAUCCAGCCAUGCCGCGUGUGUGAAGAAGGUUUUCGGAUUGUAAAGCACUCUAAGUUGGGAGGAAGGGCAGUAAGCGAAUACCUUGCUGUUUUGACGUUACCGACAGAAUAAGCACCGGCUAACUCUGUGCCAGCAGUCGCGGUAAUACAGAGGGUGUAAGCGUUAAUCGGAAUUACUGGGUGUAAAGCGCGCGUAGGUGGUUCGUUAAGUUGAAUGUGAAAGCCCCGGGCUCAACCUGGGAACUGCGUCCAAAACUGGCGAGCUAGAGUAGGGCAGAGGGUGGUGAAAUUUCCUGUGUAGCGGUGGAAUGCGUAGAUAUAGGAAGGAACACCAGUGGCGAAGGCGACCGCCUGGGCUCAUACUAACACUGAGGUGCGAAAGCGUGGGGAGCAAACAGG
rnacentral:rRNA from 1 species